GUAGGAAACGAGCGUAGUUGAAGUAGCCCAACAAAAAUGGUUACCCGUCAGUAACACUAGUCAGAAAUGUCGAUUAACAAUUGAUCAGAACAGUAGAAACAACGAUUAGCAACUAACCAGAACAACAAAAACGUCAAUUAACAACCGACCAAAACAACAGAGAUUACUUAAAUGUGAGACCAUGUGAGUGCAACAUACAUGAAUCUUCA
rnacentral:misc_RNA from 1 species